rnacentral:lncRNA from 1 species
AAAAGGUGCAUCGCGAUGCUUGUACGAUGGAACAAGCAUGACAAGCACGGAGAUUCUUGACAGCGACUGAACUUUUCUCAACAACCCUAAGGUUGUUGCGGCCUUUGCAGUUUCUGUAGCAGCUAGAUUUUAGCUGCCACAAAAAGUCUGAUUUCUUGUAGUCAUGAAGAUAAUGAUAGUAAAUUUAAUUUCUGCAUGGAAGAGUCUUAUUUUCUCCUAAUUUUCCUUCUACUUGCAAGAUGAAUCUUGGUUUAAUUUGUGAUCAAGAUAAGUUUCUCUUGCACCUUAGUAUUGAGAAGAAUAUAGAUCAUAGUAAAACUCUUUCUAUGUAUUUUGAUUAGAAUGUAACUUCAGCAGGGAAGGCAGUGAAAUUGCAAGGGUACCACAUUGCAAAAAAUUGUAAUAUAUAUGAUAGUAUCAAUAUUGAUUAAAUUUGCAUUAUUGCAUUCUGCUAAAAACCAUGUCACAUGGUGUUACAAGAAAAUAGGUUUUCAUUGUCUGCAACCCCCACACCCCCAACCC